rnacentral:lncRNA from 1 species
GCGCUCACACCGGUUUAUAAGCCCGUCCCUCUCUGCCUUGUUGAGCUCCUCUCAAAGUGAAAAUAGAUGCCCUUAUACAGGGAAUUUGACCUAAAUUCAGAGUAAAUUUCUNNNNNNNNNNGUCCCGGUUCAUACCACAAACCGGGACUAAAGGGUUGGUCCUAGUUGCGGUCAGAGUUUAGUCCCACCUCGCCAACCGAAGGGCGCUCACACCGGUUUAUAAGCCCGUCCCUCUCUGCCUUGUUGAGCUCCUCUCAAAGUGAAAAUAGAUGCCCUUAUACAGGGAAUUUGACCUAAAUUCAGAGUAAAUUUUUUGAAUUUCAUAGAAAUUUAUUAUGAAUUUAGGUUGAAUUUUCUCUAUAGGCGCAUCUAUGUUCAUUUUUUUAUAGUAAAUAAAAUAAAUAAACAUUAAUAAAAUAAAUAAAAAUAUAAACCUUAAUAAAAUAAAAUAAAAUAAAAUAAACUAUAGUAAAUAAAAUAAAUAAACCUUAAUAAAAUAAAUAAAAAUAGCAGCAGUAAAAUAAAUAAAAAU